rnacentral:tRNA from 1 species
CAACCUAAACUUAACAAAUUGAAUGUUCCUAAAAAUGUAUAUAUAUCUUAAAGAUUCGUAAUAUUUUAUGAUUUAUUCAUAAGAUUUAUGCUCAAAAUAAAGUGUAUUUGCAUUAUAUAUAUCACAGUGACGCUGCGAAUCUUUAAUUGAAUUUGAAAAACAUUAUUAAAGAACGGGAAAAGCAUCCUUCGAUAGCUCAGUUGGUAGAGCGGUGGACUGUAGAAGUUGUGAUGGUUAUCCAUAGGUCGCUGGUUCGAAACCGGCUCGAAGAUUUUUGUCAUUUUAUAUGAUUUUUGACUUGCAUUAAAACAAUGUUAAAUAUUUUUGUGUUUUAAUACAAGUUGAAAAGCACUUUGGAGAGAGAGUUAAAAAGUACGUGAAACCGUCGAGAGGCAAACGGGAGGGCCUGUCGGGUCGUUCGGUCGCUUUCAGGCGGGCCGGAGACCGGGUCGCGGGAUCGGGGACCUUCGCGGGCCUCGACUCGCGUCGCCGGCCGACGGCUCGGCGCACUAGCGUCGGACGAGGGCCGCGACCGGCUGGGCGGCGGGCAAACGGCUCCGGGCAAGGUAACCCCGCUUCGGCGGGGUGCUACAGGCCCGGUGCGCGCAAGGGUCGCCGCCCGGUCGAGGAGAGAUGCGCGCCGCACCUGCCCCGUUCGCGGGGCCGGGGAAGCCGUUCGAGCAGCGUCGUGUCGCGGUCCGGGACUGUCCUCAGUCCCGGGUCGUCUCGGCGCGGUUCCGAGCGGUCGCUCCCUCGCGAGGUGCCGCGGGUCAGCGGCUGACGCCAGCCACCUUCCCGACCCGUCUUGAAACACGGACCAAGGAGUCUAACAUGUGCGCGAGCCGCGGGGCAGUACGAAACCCGUAAGGCGAAAUGAAGGUGAACGCCGGCGCGGUCCGGCGGAGGUUGGAUCCCGUCCCGUCGGGGCGGGCGCACUACCGGCCGAUCUUCUCCGCCCUGUCGGCGAGGUCCAGCGAGAGCGUGCAAGUCGGGACCCGAAAGAUGGUGAACUAUGCCUGA